CAUGAGUUAUGUCAUGUUAUCGAUAUGUGAAUACAUAGCAUAUCAGAAGGCACACCCGGAGAACUGAAACAUCUUAGUACCCGGAGGAAGAGAAAGAAAAUUCGAUUCCCUUAGUAGCGGCGAGCGAAACGGGAAGAGCCCAAACCAACAAGCUUGCUUGUUGGGGUUGUAGGACACUCUAUACGGAGUUACAAAGGACGACAUUAGACGAAUCAUCUGGAAAGAUGAAUCAAAGAAGGUAAUAAUCCUGUAGUCGAAAAUGUUGUCUCUCUUGAGUGGAUCCUGAGUACGACGGAGCACGUGAAAUUCCGUCGGAAUCUGGGAGGACCAUCUCCUAAGGCUAAAUACUCUCUAGUGACCGAUAGUGAACCAGUACCGUGAGGGAAAGGUGAAAAGCACCCCGGAAGGGGAGUGAAAUAGAACCUGAAACCGUGUGCUUACAAGUAGUCAGAGCCCGUUAAUGGGUGAUGGCGUGCCUUUUGUAGAAUGAACCGGCGAGUUACGAUUUGAUGCAAGGUUAAGCAGUAAAUGUGGAGCCGUAGCGAAAGCGAGUCUGAAUAGGGCGUUUAGUAUUUGGUCGUAGACCCGAAACCAGGUGAUCUACCCUUGGUCAGGUUGAAGUUCAGGUAACACUGAAUGGAGGACCGAACCGACUUACGUUGAAAAGUGAGCGGAUGAACUGAGGGUAGCGGAGAAAUUCCAAUCGAACCUGGAGAUAGCUGGUUCUCUCCGAAAUAGCUUUAGGGCUAGCCUCAAGUGAUGAUUAUUGGAGGUAGAGCACUGUUUGGACGAGGGGCCCCUCUCGGGUUACCGAAUUCAGACAAACUCCGAAUGCCAAUUAAUUUAACUUGGGAGUCAGAACAUGGGUGAUAAGGUCCGUGUUCGAAAGGGAAACAGCCCAGACCACCAGCUAAGGUCCCAAAAUAUAUGUUAAGUGGAAAAGGAUGUGGCGUUGCCCAGACAACUAGGAUGUUGGCUUAGAAGCAGCCAUCAUUUAAAGAGUGCGUAAUAGCUCACUAGUCGAGUGACACUGCGCCGAAAAUGUACCGGGGCUAAACAUAUUACCGAAGCUGUGGAUUGUCCUUUGGACAAUGGUAGGAGAGCGUUCUAAGGGCGUUGAAGCAUGAUCGUAAGGACAUGUGGAGCGCUUAGAAGUGAGAAUGCCGGUGUGAGUAGCGAAAGACGGGUGAGAAUCCCGUCCACCGAUUGACUAAGGUUUCCAGAGGAAGGCUCGUCCGCUCUGGGUUAGUCGGGUCCUAAGCUGAGGCCGACAGGCGUAGGCGAUGGAUAACAGGUUGAUAUUCCUGUACCACCUAUAAUCGUUUUAAUCGAUGGGGGGACGCAGUAGGAUAGGCGAAUCGUGCGAUUGGAUUGCACGUCUAAGCAGUAAGGCUGAGUAUUAGGCAAAUCCGGUACUCGUUAAGGCUGAGCUGUGAUGGGGAGAAGACAUUGUGUCUUCGAGUCGUUGAUUUCACACUGCCGAGAAAAGCCUCUAGAUAGAAAAUAGGUGCCCGUACCGCAAACCGACACAGGUAGUCAAGAUGAGAAUUCUAAGGUGAGCGAGCGAACUCUCGUUAAGGAACUCGGCAAAAUGACCCCGUAACUUCGGGAGAAGGGGUGCUCUUUAGGGUUAACGCCCAGAAGAGCCGCAGUGAAUAGGCCCAAGCGACUGUUUAUCAAAAACACAGGUCUCUGCUAAACCGUAAGGUGAUGUAUAGGGGCUGACGCCUGCCCGGUGCUGGAAGGUUAAGAGGAGUGGUUAGCUUCUGCGAAGCUACGAAUCGAAGCCCCAGUAAACGGCGGCCGUAACUAUAACGGUCCUAAGGUAGCGAAAUUCCUUGUCGGGUAAGUUCCGACCCGCACGAAAGGCGUAACGAUUUGGGCACUGUCUCAACGAGAGACUCGGUGAAAUCAUAGUACCUGUGAAGAUGCAGGUUACCCGCGACAGGACGGAAAGACCCCGUGGAGCUUUACUGUAGCCUGAUAUUGAAAUUCGGCACAGCUUGUACAGGAUAGGUAGGAGCCUUUGAAACGUGAGCGCUAGCUUACGUGGAGGCGCUGGUGGGAUACUACCCUAGCUGUGUUGGCUUUCUAACCCGCACCACUUAUCGUGGUGGGAGACAGUGUCAGGCGGGCAGUUUGACUGGGGCGGUCGCCUCCUAAAAGGUAACGGAGGCGCUCAAAGGUUCCCUCAGAAUGGUUGGAAAUCAUUCAUAGAGUGUAAAGGCAUAAGGGAGCUUGACUGCGAGACCUACAAGUCGAGCAGGGUCGAAAGACGGACUUAGUGAUCCGGUGGUUCCGCAUGGAAGGGCCAUCGCUCAACGGAUAAAAGCUACCCCGGGGAUAACAGGCUUAUCUCCCCCAAGAGUUCACAUCGACGGGGAGGUUUGGCACCUCGAUGUCGGCUCAUCGCAUCCUGGGGCUGUAGUCGGUCCCAAGGGUUGGGCUGUUCGCCCAUUAAAGCGGUACGCGAGCUGGGUUCAGAACGUCGUGAGACAGUUCGGUCCCUAUCCGUCGUGGGCGUAGGAAAUUUGAGAGGAGCUGUCCUUAGUACGAGAGGACCGGGAUGGACAUACCUCUGGUGUACCAGUUGUCGUGCCAACGGCAUAGCUGGGUAGCUAUGUGUGGACGGGAUAAGUGCUGAAAGCAUCUAAGCAUGAAGCCCCCCUCAAGAUGAGAUUUCCCAACUUCGGUUAUAAGAUCCCUCAAAGAUGAUGAGGUUAAUAGGUUCGAGGUGGAAGCAUGGUGACAUGUGGAGCUGACGAAUACUAAUCGAUCGAAGACUUAAUCAA
rnacentral:rRNA from 1 species